rnacentral:tRNA from 1 species
UCCUCCAUAGCUCAGUUGGUUAGAGCGGUUGACUGUUAAUCAAUAGGUCGCUGGUUCGAGUCCAGCUGGGGGAGCCA